UUUGAUAAAUUGUUCUGCGUGGCCACACGGGUACAUCGAGUCUUCUCUGUGAAUGUAAUGUGUUAUAGUCCCGCCCGCCUGUGCUGACUUGACAAGCGUAAGUAACAAACCCCCGGGAGAGUGUCAACGAAUCGAGCACCCUGUCUUCUCUCUGCCGAAAACGUGCAAACGUUUCUGGACGAGGAAACAGUGGAGCACCGCAGUGAACGUGGCUUUGCUGCAGCAGAUCCAGGGUGAGGAGCCUGUUUGCAUUCCACUGCAGUUGCAAAACAAUGGAGGUGAAGCUUGAACAGCAGGACGAAGAUAUCACAUUCAGCAACACUGACACUAAUGGUAAACGGCCAGCUGAGGACAUGGAAGAAGAGCAGGCCUUCAAACGUUCUCGCAACGCAGACGAGAUGGUGGAGCUGCGUGUGUUGCUUCAGAGCAAAAAUGCCGGUGCUGUUAUCGGAAAGGGUGGCAAGAACAUAAAAGCCCUACGCACAGACUACAAUGCCAGUGUAUCAGUCCCAGACAGCAGUGGCCCAGAGCGGAUCCUGAGUGUGAAUGCCAGCAUCGACACUAUUGGAGAUAUUCUGCUAAAAAUCAUACCGACUCUAGAGGAGUACCAGCAUUACAGUGGGAUUGAUUUUGACUCUGAGCUUCGUCUGCUGAUCCAUCAGAGCUUGGCAGGGGGCAUCAUUGGGGUAAAAGGUGCCAAGAUAAAGGAGCUGAGAGAGAACACCCAGACCACCAUCAAGCUGUUCCAGGAGUGCUGUCCACACUCCACUGACCGAGUCGUCUUGGUGGGAGGAAAGCCAGAACGGGUCAUUGAAUGUAUAAAAGUUAUCCUGGAGCUGGUGUCAGAGGCGCCAAUCAAAGGUCGUGCCCAGCCUUAUGACCCUAAUUUCUACGAUGAGACGUACGACUACGGCGGUUUCACUAUGUUAUUCGAGGAGAGAGGCAGACGACCCAUUGGUGGCUUCCCCAUUCGGGUGCGUGGGGGCUUUGAGCGCAUGCCCCCGGUUCGUGGCAACAGACCUAUACCUCCCUCCAGAAGGGACUACGAUGACAUAAGCCCCCGUCGGGGUCCUCCACCUCCGCUGAGCAGAGGUGGACGAGGGGGCAGCCGAGCACGUAAUCUGCCUCUUCCCCCGCCACCACCGCCAAGAGGAGGGGGAGACAGGUUCUCACAUGGCAGCUAUCAUGGCGGCAUGGACGACAGACCAAGUGACAGAAGAGGCCGAGGAGGAGACCGUUAUGACAGCAUGAGUGGAGGUGGAUAUGACAACAAUUCUUCCUGGGAGCACUUUCAGUCUGGUGGAAGAGGCUCAUACAGUGAUAUUGGAGGCCCAGUCAUCACAACACAAGUCACCAUACCAAAAGAUCUGGCUGGCUCCAUCAUCGGUAAGGGCGGCCAGAGGAUCAAGCAGAUCCGCCAUGAAUCUGGGGCAUCCAUCAAGAUUGAUGAACCACUAGAGGGCUCUGAGGACCGCAUCAUCACCAUCACAGGAACACAGGACCAGAUCCAGAACGCCCAGUACCUGCUGCAGAACAGGCAUGUGCUCCUGUGACUCCCCCAAACAACUCAUCCCAUUGGAGCAGUGUGGUCUCCUCUGAUGGCCUGUAGGCUCAUCCACCACUGGAUGGAAUGUGAGGCAGUACUCUGGUCGGUUCUUCUAGGAAGAGGGGAAGUGAAGAAGAAGAGUGAAGCCAUGCUGCCAUACUGUUUCCUCCUCCUAUUCAGAGCCUACAUUCCUCUGCUUUGCCUCCUCCCCUCACUAUCACACACUACACCAUCCUAUAAAUCACAAUUUUUAUUUAGAGGCAUUUAAAAAAACUUUAAGCUGUCAAACAGCAAAGGAGUCAACGUGUUUCUGUGCUGGUGUAAUUCUUUUUAUGAGAUUAUUGUGCCGUCAGUGGAGUAAACUCAUACUGUACGUGUGAUAACUUUUGGUGUUGUGAGCUUCCCUUGGCCCUUAUCUCCUUCAUUUCAAUACAGCAUGCAGAAUGUAAUCUUUUUGUAAGGAACAUUAUGUGAGGAUUUUUUCUCUCUCUGCCCCCCCCCCCCCUCCCCCCCUUAAAUGUUUAAGCACACUCUAAAUAAAGAUGCAUGGUUUUAGAAUGGUUAAAGAACCAUUGAAAUAAACUUUAAUUUUUACAUAACCUCCAAUAUCCUUUUCCACUUUCAAACGAAGUGCUUUUUGUAAGAUGGGCUUUAAUGGAGUGGUUUGACAUUUUGAGUAAUAUGCUUAUUUGUCUUUGUGCUAGGCUAACCGGCUGCUAGCAGUAACCUUCGUUAAAGCUGUGGUUGGCAAUUUCUGUUUUUAGGCUUUAGAAAUCUAGCUGUGACAGGAGACUUUGGUCUAUCACAGGUCAUUUCAGAGAAAGAGAGCAUUCCUAUUGGCUGUUCUGCGCAUGCAUUGCCCAUGCUAUAUUGAGGGCAGAGGUGGAGCUGCAGGAAGAGGUCUCACUCAAAUUCUGGCUUUUUUUGCAUUCUACCCACUGCAGCUUGAACUCUUUACCAGAUAUUGAAUAAGCCUGUUUCUCAAAAUGUCAUACUUUUGCUUUAAGUUGGGAUAAAUGUGCCAGUGUGAUAUAGCAAAAAGAACAUUUUUAAGAUUUUUUUGUUUUUCAUAGAAAGACAAAGAGCUGUAUAAAGUGUGUGUGUGUGUAUAUAUUUACAUAGAAAACGUAAUUUCAUGAGUGGUUAGGUUUGAUAGGCCUAAAAUAGAUAGAGCCCAAAGAGCCAUAAGACUGUUUUUUUUUUUUCUUUUUUUUCUAUGUAAUUUGAUUUAUUUUCUGCCAAUUAUGACUCGCUGUAAUGCAACCUCAAUUUUUGAUCUGUUUGAUCCAUUAUUCUUGCAUUAGUGUUUUUAAUUUGAACAAUUUGGAAACAAUUAUAAAGUUUUGAAUAGGCUCUUGGGUGCCGUUUGAAACGAGGAGCAUACAGCUUUAUGAGUCCAUGAGUGGUGUUUUCUAUCCGGUCAUAUCUGUAGCUCUGUGUCUGAUUAUCUGUAGUACCUGCAGGUGUUUAGUAAAUAAAGUCUGUGUCACAGUUCA